rnacentral:rRNA from 1 species
GACGAACCGUGCAAACGUUGUUCGGAAUCACUGGGCUUAAAGGGCGCGUAGGCGGGCUGUCAAGUCUGGGGUGAAAUGCCACGGCUCAACCGUGGAACUGCCUCAGAUACUGACGGCCUCGAGGGAGGGAGGGGCGUGCGGAACUGUAGGUGGAGCGGUGAAAUGCGUUGAUAUCUACAGGAACUCCGGUGGCGAAAGCGGCGCGCUGGACCUCUUCUGACGCUGAGGCGCGAAAGCUAGGGGAGCAAACGGG